AUUGAACGCUGGCGGCAGGCCUAACACAUGCAAGUCGAGCGGUAACACAGAGGAGCUUGCUCCUUGGGUGACGAGCGGCGGACGGGUGAGUAAUGCCUGGGGAUCUGCCCGAUCGAGGGGGAUAACUACAGGAAACUGUAGCUAAUACCGCAUAAUGUCUACGGACCAAAGUGGGGGCUCUUCGGAUCUCAUGCAAUCGGAUGAACCCAGGUGGGAUUAGCUAGUUGGUGAGGUAAUGGCUCACCAAGGAGACCGUCUCUAACUGGUUUGAGAGAAUGACCAGUCACACUGGAACUGAGACACGGUCCAGACUCCUACGGGAGGCAGCUGUGGGGAAUAUUGCACAAUGGGCGCAAGCCUGAUGCAGCCAUGCCGCGUGUGUGAAGAAGGCCUUCGGGUUGUAAAGCACUUUCAGCGGGGAGGAAGGGCUACUAGUUAAUACCUAGUGGCAUUGACGUUACUCGCAGAAGAAGCACCGGCUAACUCCGUGCCAGCAGCCGCCAGUAA
rnacentral:rRNA from 1 species